rnacentral:lncRNA from 1 species
AGAAGACUUCCUGAGCAUGAGAGGAUGGGCAGCCCUGAAGCAGGCAAAGGAAAAGUGGCACGGCAGGAAGCAAGUCAGAUGAGGGGGCCUGGUUUGUGCGAGAACAUGACAAACCAGUGUUCCUGAAGCCUAAAGGGAAGGUGAGACAAGGCAGAGGAGGCUGGCGGGGCCAGGUCACGGAGUCUCCUGUGCCACACUGAGAGUCUGGGCUUGAGCUUGUGGAGAGCCCAAGGAUGAAAACAGAGAAGUAAUUAAUGGCAGCUUUCCUGGGCCAGAAGAAUAAAUAAGGAAUUAUCUUACAAACAGCAAAUAAACCACAGCAACCAUGAAAUUAGAAGUUUGGUAAAACAUGUUGCAGAAGAACCAGGAAACACAUUGCAAUUGAGCCUGCUGGGUGCUGCUGCAAGUUUGGGGGUGAACAGGAGAAUCAGGUUCUUAUAGGUAAGCAGACAAAUGUGUAGAAGGGUUUUUUGUUUUGUUUAAUUUUGAGUGUUGGUGGUGAGUAUGAGGCAUGAUAGAGUAUCAGAACAUUCACAUUCCACAAGAAGAUGAAAAUAGAAAAAUAUAAGACAGAAUUUGAAUUAUAACAUUUAUCAUGUGACCUUGGGCAACAAAAAUAAUCUGUAAGCAUCAUUUCUCCAUUUGUUAAAUGGCAACAAUGCCCACCCCUUAUAGAAUUGUCAGUAGCAUAAAUAAGAUAGCAUAAAGUAACUAUAGCAUGUUGUGUUUAGCAAAUAGUUAUUACUAUGAUGAUUAUUUAUAGAACUAGCUUGAAGAUAAACUGUCUUUCACAGUAAAGAUAAGGACUUAACAAUAAACUCAUUUUUCACAUGAGUGUUUGUCACUGAGGAGGCAUGCCACUCUGAAAUGUGUUGUUCUUGUCACCAGGGGUGAAGUCUGCAAAGUAGGAUGUUUUCCUAAUUUGAAUGCAAUGACUGAAGUGGAAAAUGGUCAAGUGAGUUUUUGAAAGAAAUAUUUUCUCUAAUAUAAAAUUUUUGAAUUGAUUCUUUUUUUUGUUUCUUAAAACAAGUUCUAUUCUUAUAGAAAAAGAAAAAAAUGCCAGUAAUCUUUAUAAUACCCAUUAAAAUAAAGUCUCUGUAGCCCACAAGGCCCCGAAGAAACUCAGCUCAAAGACCAUUCGGCAGAAGGUAAGGCAGCAUUCUCCUACAUUGUAGACAACAGCUCUUUCUCAAGAUGGUAGGAUCAAAGUUUUCUCAUUUUGUAUAUAUUUCUACAUUAACAAAAAAUGUAUGAUCUUUUGUAUAUUUACUAAAUACAACCAUGACCUACAUUAAUGUCAUGAAUGAUUUCAUAUACUUUUGAAUGUUCUACUUUAUUUUUAAUUUUUUGGUUGAGACAGGGUCUCACUCUGUCACCCAGGGUGGAGUGCAAUGGCACCAUCUUGGCUCACUGCAACCUCCACCUCCCAGGUUCAAGCAAUUCUCAUGCCUCAGCCUCCCAGGUAGCUGGGAUUACAGCUAUUUUUUGUAUUUUUAGUAGAGACGGGGUUUCACCAUGUUGGCCAGGCUGGUCUCAAACUCCUGGCCUCAUGUGACCCACCAAAGUGCUGGGAUUACAAGCAUGAGCCGCUAUGCCUGGCCUCUAUUUAUUUAAAAUAUGAAAAGUUAGGGGCUAAUUCCUUCCCACCCCUCCAUCCCUCAUCCUGCAAGAUAUGCCCCUGCUCUGGUUUGGAAAAUCCACUAGAAGGAUUAAGAGUCCUGGUAAGUCAUGCAGAGUGAAAUAGUGAGCUCAGUGACACACAGCAUGGAGAAUGGACACCCAACAGGAAGAAUGUGCCCAUAUGCAUAAAUGGAAUUGCUGUGGGGAUUAGGAAAAUGUACAACAAAAUUGAUCUUUAAUCUGUCAAUUAAUGAUUAGGGGUCAGUCCUCAAUUUUCUCUUGUCUCUCUGGGUCACCACCUAAAUGACCUAAUCCAAUCCUGUAUCUCUAUACAAUGACAACUCCCAAAUUUAUAACUCUAUGUUUAGACUCUUCUCUAUACUUUAGACUUAUCUGUGCAACUGCCUACUGGAUAUCUUGAAUUUCUCUUCAAAGUUGUUCCUUCCCUGUGCUUUAUCAAUGCAGUGAACGGACGCUCCAUUCUUCUACUUGUUCAGAAAAAAAAGUUGGGUUAUAACUGACUUUUCUGUUGAUAUCACAUCACACAUCCAAUCUGUUAGUAAAUCUUGUCAUCUCUACCUUCAAAAUAUAAUCUCGGACUAUUUCUCACUUGCUACCACCAUCAUCUGCUGUCUGGAUUGUUGCAGUAGCUUCCUAACAGAUAUCCAGUUCCUACUUUUUUGCUCCUGUGGUUUACUGUCCUCAGAGCAGUCAGAGUGAUUUUUCUAAAAUACAAGUCAAAUAAUGUUGUUUCUGCUUAAAUUUUUCUAGAACUGGGCAGAGUGGCUCACACCUACAAUCCCCUAGGAGGGAAGGACAAAGGCAUCCAUAUCACCUCGCCACAGUGGUUGUGGUGGAAGCUGUAGCACUGAAGAGAUGCAGCCCCAUGGAAGAUGCUGCCAAGAGAGGGAGACAGAGCUACGUCUGGUGUCUCCCUUCCUCCUUACCUGGUGCCUCCCUCCUCCUGUCCUCCUGUCUCCCUUCAGAUGAAGGAACUGAUGCUGAGACUUGCACUCUACCAUAGGCGGAAGCACCCACCACCCUGUUCCCAGCCCUGGAAGGGCAAGGAAUGAAUCUGAGGCAAAUAGGGCCAGCACUGGCAGUCUGCUCGAUUUUCCCUCAGAGCAUUUAUCUUCCUUGACAUAUUUACAAUUUUUUGUCUAUUUUUGGUUUCUCUAACUUGACUAGAAUGUAAGAUCCACAAGGCUUGGGCUUUGCUCUUUUGUUCACUAUGUCCAUAGCUCCUGUAACAGUGCCUAAAACAUAGUAGGCAAUCAAUAGAUAUUCUUUGGAUAAACAAAUAUGCCUCAACAUUGAGUCUAACUUACAGCAGACAUUGAAUAAAUAUCUAUUGAAUGAAUGAGACUAACAAUUUACUACAAAAGCAGUUCUUAUGUGAAAUAUGACAGGGUUGACAUCUUAACUGAAAUCCAUCUUGAGAGAUUUUUUUUAACCCACCGAGAUUUCUGAGAACACAUUUAUUUGAAGAACCUUAUAUUUUAUGAUGCAUUUUUAUAUGUGAAUUUUUUGAAACCCUACUAUCUUAUUUCCUGAGGGGUUUUAGACUCAGCUAUUCUUCAUUUCAUUUUUAUACAUUUGUGCAGCUGAACACUUCCUACUUUAUUCUUUUUGUUUCUAAGUUCCUAAAAAUAGUUCAGAAAAUCCAAAAUUAUGAACUCGAUUCAUCCAAAAAAAUGAACAAAUCAAAUAACUUUGAAAAUAAAUGCUUUCACUAUUUAUUACUAACAAAAUUGAACAGUAUAAUCCAGAAAAAUUGAGCAAAAAUAAUUUAUAAAUCUCAAGAUUAAAACCAAAUAUGGCUUUAUGAUUGUAUUAGUCCAUUUUCACACUGCUAUAAAGAUACUACCCAAGACUGGGUAAUUUACAAACAAAGAAGGUUUAAUUGACUCACAAUUCUGCAGGGCUGGGGAGGCCUCAGGAAACUUACAAUCAUGGUGGAAUGGAAAGCAGGCACCGUCUUUACAAGGUGUCAGGAGAGAGGGAGAGCAGGGGAAACCACCACUUAUAAAACCAUAAGAUCUCGUGGGAACACACUCACUCUCAUGAGAAUAGCAUGGAGAAAGCCGCCCCCAUGAUCCAAUCACCUCCCAUCAGGUCCCUCCGUUGACAUGUGGGCAUUAUGAUUCUGAUUACAAUUGGAGAUGAGAUUUGGGUGGGGACACAGCCAAACCAUAUUGGUCAAUUAAGCGAUAAAUACUAUAAAAAUUAUAAAUAGUGGUCAAACUGAAACAUUUCUCUGUUUCAGAAACUUUUCACUUUAAGAAAGUCUUAAAUUCAUUGUUGAUUACCUUGUUCACAUUUUCUCGAUCUCUCCUAGAGAUCAAAUUAGGACUGAUUUGUAUCAAUAAAUCUGGAUUUUGAUUUCCUUUAUGACUUUGGAUAGAUUUCUGGAUGGUGAGUGAAUACAGACUUAAACUUUAAGAAAGUGCCUGCUUCCAGCUUCUGGCUGGAGGCUACACUUCCCAGCCUGUCAGAACAGCCACCCUGAAAACUGCAAUCCAUUAUGAGAAAUAAAGCUCUCUUUUUUAAAUUAAAAAGAAAAAGGAAUUAAAAUGUAGGAUUUGGUGACCAAUUUAAGUAUGUUAAAGAUAUGUUUUGGCUACUGAGCUUCCUCUGAGAUUCUUUAUACUCAAACACAAACAAAGCACUGAAUUUCAACCUGAAAAUAUGUCAUGUGUUUCAAAUAACUUGAAGAACAAAAACAACAACAAAAAUCCUGUUAUUUUCUGGGAAAAAUGAUUCAUUUCAGGUAAAACCCAUGACAUAUUUUUAGGUCACCAAAUCCCACGUUUUAAUUCCUUUUUCAUUAGGAGAGUCCACCCAUGAUAAACAAUAGGAAGGUUGUAAUGAGUUUCUGUCUUUGUCCUCAGGCAAGAAGAAAUUCAAAUACAUUCUUUCUGUGUGAAUUCAUUUCUUUUCCACCUCAGCUGUUCAAAUCUCCAAAAUGAAUAACUAUUGCCAGCACUGUCUUGUUCAUGCUUGUUUUUAAAGCUGUUUCUUUCUUUUGAGACGUAAUCGCAGGCCCUUAAGAAAACCAGAAGGGACAAGCCAAGUGUCAAUUAUGUUUGUUGUUCCAGCUAGUCUGUUUCUGUAAGUGUAUGAUAUAGGACAGAAAGAAUUGGCCCAUAUUUUUUUCCAAUUUUGAGAAACUCUGAGCUUAAUUUUUAGUUUUCCCAAUUGUUUUUACUUUAGAAUAAAUUGCUUAGUAUAUCUAAUUAUAAUAAUGAUGGCUCACAUUUACUGCGCAUUAACUACAUCAAGUACUUAUUGUAAGUGACGCAUGUGACCAGUUGCCAAUUGUUCAGGCUACAGCUUGGAUCUGUUAGCAUCCUCAUUUAACAAAUGGAGAAAUUGUAGCACAGAGAAGGAACUUUCCCCAGGUUCCAUGGUGAAUAAAUAGAGGAAGUGCUCAAUGAGCCUAACUAAUCUGGGUUGAAAGCUCAUACUCUUACCCAGCCUCCAAGCUAGCAGAUGGAAAUCAAAAUAUCUUAUUUUAAAGCUCUUUUCUAGGAGAAAAGAUACCUUGAUAAGCUGUUUUUCCAAGGAAUGGGAGGCCAUAAUGACAUGUUUAAAUGAGACAAUAAACAGGUUUACAUAACUAGUUUACAUUUAAAAAGAAAGAUAAAGAAACAGGAACUUGGGUUCCUCCCAGAGGUCAAAGAAGGGAGGGGUCAGACAGAAGAGCAGAAGGUUGGCAUCUGUGGGGAGGUCACUGUGGGGAGACGAUUUUGGAGGUGGGUUUGCCAAAGGAUAUUAAUAAGAUUUUUCCCUCUAAUUGUUUGAUGGGGAGCAUUAGAAACUCCAUAAGAUUUUGGAUUUUGGAAAUCAAGUUUAUUUAAAUCUUAAAGGAUGAGUGAUAUCACCUACUUUUUGAGUUAUAAAUCUUUAAUAUAAUUCUAAUAUUCAACAUAUAUGCUUUGAAAACUGUGUUUUUAGAUUUUCCACUGAAUUUGAAAUAGGAUUAUUUUUAUAGUUGAAUCUUGUCCUCUCCUACAGGUCAAUUUUUAAGAAUAUAUAUCCAGGAAAAAGUAACUGCCCAUAAGCAAAAAUGAGUGCAAUUUCUGGUGCUCUCCUAACUGUAAUAUCACACGUAUUUGUGCUACAGAACAAGAAUAGGGACAAGGAAAGAAAACAAACUUGACCAACAUUUGAGAAUCUACUACAUGUUAAGUAGUAAGUCAUACUACUUUUUAAAAUCCACUUUAUCGAAGUAGAGUAAACAUAUACAAUUCACUAAUUUUAUUUGCACAGCCUAUAUAUAUAUACACUAGUGUCACCACUGCAACAAUCAUGAUAUAGAACAUUUCUAUCACCCCAGAAAGUUUACUCAUGAUCCUUUGUAGUCAAUCCCUCCUCCCACUUCCCACCUUUGGCAAUCAGUGACCUGCUUUCUGUUACUAUAGUUUUGUCUCCUCUAAUUUUUCAUAUAAAUGGAAUCAUAUAUCAUGAAGUCUUUUGUAUCUGGUUUCAUUCACUUUCCAUAUUGCUUUUGGGAUUCAUCCAUAUUGUUUCAUGUGUCAGUCAUUUCUUCCUUUUUGUUGUUGAGUAUGGACAUUCCAGUUUGUCUAUUCAUCAACUGAUAGAUAUUUGGGUUGUUUCUAGAUUUUAGCUAUCAUAAAUAAAACUUUCAUGAACAUUUAUGUGCAAAUACUUAUUUGGGCAGGUUUUCAUUCUUCUUGGGUAAACAUUUAGAGUAGGAUCAUUGGGUCACAGGAGAAG